rnacentral:tRNA from 1 species
UAGCUCAGUUGGUAGAGCAUGGUGUUUGCAACGCCAGGGUUGUGGGUUUGAUUCCAAC